AUGCAAGUCGAACGGCAGCACAGUAAGAGCUUGCUCUUAUGGGUGGCGAGUGGCGGACGGGUGAGGAAUACAUCGGAAUCUACUCUUUCGUGGGGGAUAACGUAGGGAAACUUACGCUAAUACCGCAUACGACCUACGGGUGAAAGCGGAGGACCUUCGGGCUUCGCGCGGUUGAAUGAGCCGAUGUCGGAUUAGCUAGUUGGCGGGGUAAAGGCCCACCAAGGCGACGAUCCGUAGCUGGUCUGAGAGGAUGAUCAGCCACACUGGAACUGAGACACGGUCCAGACUCCUACGGGAGGCAGCAGUGGGGAAUAUUGGACAAUGGGCGCAAGCCUGAUCCAGCCAUGCCGCGUGGGUGAAGAAGGCCUUCGGGUUGUAAAGCCCUUUUGUUGGGAAAGAAAAGCAGUCGGUUAAUACCCGAUUGUUCUGACGGUACCCAAAGAAUAAGCACCGGCUAACUUCGUGCCAGCAGCCGCGGUAAUACGAAGGGUGCAAGCGUUACUCGGAAUUACUGGGCGUAAAGCGUGCGUAGGUGGUGGUUUAAGUCUGUUGUGAAAGCCCUGGGCUCAACCUGGGAAUUGCAGUGGAUACUGGGUCACUAGAGUGUGGUAGAGGGUAGCGGAAUUCCCGGUGUAGCAGUGAAAUGCGUAGAGAUCGGGAGGAACAUCCGUGGCGAAGGCGGCUACCUGGACCAACACUGACACUGAGGCACGAAAGCGUGGGGAGCAAACAGGAUUAGAUACCCUGGUAGUCCACGCCCUAAACGAUGCGAACUGGAUGUUGGGUGCAAUUUGGCACGCAGUAUCGAAGCUAACGCGUUAAGUUCGCCGCCUGGGGAGUACGGUCGCAAGACUGAAACUCAAAGGAAUUGACGGGGGCCCGCACAAGCGGUGGAGUAUGUGGUUUAAUUCGAUGCAACGCGAAGAACCUUACCUGGUCUUGACAUCCACGGAACUUUCCAGAGAUGGAUUGGUGCCUUCGGGAACCGUGAGACAGGUGCUGCAUGGCUGUCGUCAGCUCG
rnacentral:rRNA from 1 species